rnacentral:rRNA from 1 species
AUUGAACGCUGGCGGCAGGCCUAACACAUGCAAGUCGAACGAGUGGCGGACGGGUGAGUAAUGUCUGGGAAACUGCCUGAUGGAGGGGGAUAACUACUGGAAACGGUAGCUAAUACCGCAUACCAUCGGAUGUGCCCAGAUGGGAUUAGAUAGUAGGUGGGGUAACGGCUCACCUAGGCGACGAUCCCUAGCUGGUCUGAGAGGAUGACCCGCCACACUGGAACGGAUACACGGUCCAGACGCCUACGGGAGGCAGCAGUGGGGAAUAUUGCACAAUGGGCGCAAGCCGGAUGCAGCCAGGCCGCGUGUAGGAAGAAGGCCGUCGGGUUGUAAAGUACUUUCAGAGGGGAGGCGUUACCCGCAGAAGAAGCACCGGCUAACUCCGUGCCAGCAGCCGCGGUAAUUC